rnacentral:SRP_RNA from 2 species
GCUGGGUGUGGUGGUGCGUGCCUGUAGUCUUAGCUACUGGGGAGGCUGAGGCGGGAGGAUCACUUGAGUCCAGGAGUUCAAGGCUGUAGUGAGCUAUGAUUGUGCCACUGCACUUUAGCCUGGAUGACAGAGUGAGACCCUGUCUCAA